AGGUAAGACGAAGUGGGAAAGCAAUGUUGACUUCGAGUAAGGCCUCCCAACACACUUGCAGCCAAUGGUAGACCUUGACACAUUUCAACAGUUCUAUUUCCCAUGCUUACUAAUUCUUGUGGAACCUCUCCAUCAACAAAUGCCCUUUGUUUGAAAAUGGACCAACAAUGAUCUUCCGAGGAUGUUAUCAAUUUCAUACGAGUUGUCACGAGAAUGCAGUUUCCUCUGGAUGUAUUUAUUCCUUUCAAUGAUCAGUUCCACAAAGCUCUUAGUCUUUGACAUUUCAGGUAGACACACAAAAGAAAACUCUCUUUUCAAAGUGCUUCUUGAUCUGUUCAUCAUUGAAAAUUCUCUUAGCUAUGAGAAUGGUGCAAUCUGGAUGCUUUGGUGAAGCUGUCUUUACACUAGAAAAUAUGAUCUGGGGCUCAAAAAAUGGAGAAACGGAACUACACUCAGAGAACCUCCAAAUUUAUCUGGAUGGGAUUUGCGAAAUGUUUUAGUAGGUGUGAAUUUAAAUUUACGGAGAAUAUCAUAAAACAAGUCCUAGAAGAGGCCAACCAGACACCUCUGGAUGUUGCUUGAAAAACACAGUUGGAGUAGAUACUCGUAUCAAUGACAUGGUUGGUAUAUAUGGCGUUGGUGGAAUAGGAAAACAACUUCGACAAAAGGGGCUAUAACCAAAUAUUUUAGCAAUUUGGUUGUAGUCUGCUUCAUUUCAAAGAUUGGAUCCUGAAGCAGUUAAUGGACAAAUUUUCAAAAGUAAAGACUUCAAAGUUAACAGUGUUACUGAAGGCAUCAAACUAAUCAAAGCAAGACUCUGGUUAAAGAAGGUUCUAUUGUUCUUGAUCAGCUUUUGUGAUAUUGGGAGUCACAUUUGCAAGGAAGAUUGGUAGCUAAUGAAGACAUGAAGUCCAAAAAUUAAGAGCAAUUGCUUGUAGUGAUCCAAAGAUGAGCUUUUUGAUGGACUUGAUGAUAAUAUGAACAUUAUUAUGUAUAUUAACUGUAUUUUCAACUCUAACUCUGUAUAUUUCGAAUACAGCAAAAAAAGAAGAAGAGGAUUUUAUAGUCAAACGCCUAAUAAUAACAAUAAAUCACAA